GACGAACGCUGGCGGCGUGCCUAAUACAUGCAAGUCGAACGAGAGCAACCGGUGCUUGCACUGGUCAAUCUAGUGGCGAACGGGUGAGUAACACGUGGGUAACCUGCCCAUCAGAGGGGGAUAACAUCCGGAAACGGAUGCUAAAACCGCAUAGGUCUUCGAACCGCAUGGUUUGAAGAGGAAAAGAGGCGCAAGCUUCUGCUGAUGGAUGGACCCGCGGUGCACUAGCUAGUUGGUGAGGUAACGGCUCACCAAGGCCGUGAUGCAUAGCCGACCUGAGAGGGUGAUCGGCCACAUUGGGACUGAGACACGGCCCAAACUCCUACGGGAGGCAGCAGUAGGGAAUCUUCCGCAAUGGACGCAAGUCUGACGGAGCAACGCCGCGUGAGUGAAGAAGGUUUUCGGAUCGUAAAACUCUGUUGUUAGAGAAGAACAAGUGCUAGAGUAACUGUUAGCGCCUUGACGGUAUCUAACCAGAAAGCCACGGCUAACUACGUG
rnacentral:rRNA from 1 species